rnacentral:tRNA from 1 species
AGUAAAGUCAGCUAAAUAAGCUUUUAGGCCCAUACCCUAAAAAAUGGAGGUUAAAAUCCCCCCUUUACAA